CAGUCACUAAUCUAACAGAACAACGAAUUACACGUCACAUAACUGAGAUACUAUUUUACACAAUCCUUGUCGAGUGGAAUCGAGUGGGCAAUGUUUUUAAAGUUCAUUGUCAUCUUCAACAAAGCUAUCUGGACGGUGUAGGUCGUUGUUCAUCCUGUCUUCGUUCGUCAUCAUGCGGUACAUUGCACGUGCCUCUUUCUCUAAGCUGAAAUAUACAGUGUAUGAAUUAUGAAUAUCAUAUAUGAAUACGUUCGGCAGGGUUAACCGCGAUGAUUUGUUUCAUAAACUGCUUUUAUCACGGCUUUGAUAGACAUAAAAAUGGCAUUUCAAAGUUGAAUUAUAGCUUAGUUUGAUUCCGGUAACAGUAUCAUGGGCGUACCGGGCGGGAGGGGC